rnacentral:rRNA from 1 species
UACGUAGGGGGGCAAGCGUUGUCCGGAUUUAUUGGGCGUAAAGAGCGUGUAGGCGGCUUCACAGGUCCGCUGUGAAAACUCGAGGCUCAACCUCGAGCUGUCGGUGGAAACCGUGUGGCUAGAGUCCGGAAGAGGAGAGUGGAAUUCCCCGGUGUAGCGGUGAAAUGCGCAGAUAUCGGGAAGAACACCCGUGGCGAAGGCGGCUCUCUGGGACGGUACUGACGCUGAGACGCGAAAGCG